rnacentral:lncRNA from 1 species
AGGGAUUGGGGUUAAAAAACGGGAGAGAGGAAAAAAGAUCGAGAAAGUCUCCUUCUACUUCUUCAAGCAAAUCACAGUAGCCAUACAACAUUAAAAUUCCAUUUUUUCUUCAUAACUUCAUCAUAUAAAUCCCAUAGAAACUUAUCUCUUGUUCCAUAAAACCAGUCCCCAAAACUUUGAAGCUCCCAAAAUGGAGGCACCCCACCGAUUUGGAAGGAACCUUCAACAGCCAAAUCUCUGAUUUCUCAGAACACCCAACAACUUAAACACACACACACAUCUAACACAUACAAAAACGAAAAAACAGAGAAGGAAAAGGGUCGAGAUCACUUAAAUACGAAGGGGGAAAAGGAUCAAGAUCUGGAAAAUGAAGGGAACAAAAAAUCGAACAAACUUUCUCUUUCGCUUUCUUCCUCACUGACAGCAACCUUCACUGGUUUUCUUCAUCUCCCGUUCUCAAAAAUGCAGCAGCAAUUUUUAAGUUUGAGUUCCAUCGUGGUCGCCGGAGUAGUUUCGCGUUCGAGGUUCCGAUGUUGCUAGUUUCUUGUUCGAUCUUCGUUCCGAUAGUCGGGGAUUUGUUUGGCUCGGACAAAUGUAAGUUUUCAACUUCGAAUUCAUUAAUACAAAGGUUGGACUUUUGCCUUCUCACUAUAUUGGCUUUGAAUAUCAUUUUGUUUCUGCCCAUUAAAACUGUUUGCUAACUUCACCAACAUGGUAGAUACGCUCUUAAAUGCUACAUGCUUUGUCAUUUUUUUUGUUAGUUUUUUUAUUUAUUAUUGAUCCUACUUUAAUUUAUCCUUAGUUUUAUCUAUAUGUGUGAGUAGAUACAAGAGUGAAGGAUAUUAAUUUCAUGCAUCAAUUUUAAAGUAUUAAAUAGUAAAUAAAAAAUGAAGAACCAUGAUUGGACACAUAAGAACGAGGUUUAGAGUUGGGUGUGAGUGAUCUGGAAAUACAGUAUUUGGACUUUGAUUUAAAAUUUGAAGGAUUCACAUCCUAUGAUAAUUCUGGGCUUCAUUUGUUGGGCCGUAGGAGGUUGGUAUAGAAAAAAAUUUCUCCGUAAUUUUGGGCCUUACAAUAAUUUCAAAAUUUAGCAAGAAUAAUGAACAUUCGUAGAAAUGUUGUAGGUGCAGGUUUUAAAAUUACUAUCUUGAUUACGUACAUGUUUGCCUGACAUGAUUACAAUUUUUCAAAUAAAUUUAAGGCACGCGUUUGCGCGACUUUGGCCAAGCUUUUUCUUAAAUAAACGAAGUGUUGUGAAUUGUGUACAUAUACGCAUGACAUGAUUCUUGAUGUCAUGUGUAUAUGGGCUAAAUAUGGGGCUAAAUAUGGAAAAACUAAUUCAUGAAAGACAACAUGGCGAUUGACAUAAACACGACCAAAUGUAGGAUCUAGGCAACAAUAUCCUUUAUAAUUAAAAGCAUAACCUAGGAAAAUACAUUGGAUAGAACGUGGUUGAAGCUUAUGAGAAACUUGAGAAGAUAUAUUUGGAAAACAUUCACAACCAAAAAGUCGAAGAAAACUAUAGUUAGAGGGUGUAUGAAAAAGCUUUUCAAAUGGAGAAAGUCUUUUUAAAAUAGGGGUAGGUAAUCUAUUAAUAGUAUAAACAGCGUAAAAAGCAGUAUCAACCCAAAAUUGAGAUGGCAAAUGAGCAUCUGUAAGGAUGGUACACACCAUUUCAAUUAUGUGGCGAUGUUUUCGUUCAGCCACCCCAUUUUGUUGAGGAGUAUUUGGGCAUGAUUUACGAAAAGAAAUACCUAAGUUAGAAAAACGUUGAAGCAUAGCCUUAUUAUCAAAUUCACCACCUCCAUCGCUUUAAAAAGUUUUAAUUUUAGUGUUAAAAGUGUUCUCCGCGAGUUUUUGAAAUGUACAAAACUGCUAAAAAACUUCUGAUUUUCUCAUCAUAGGAUAAAACCAUGUAAAUCGAGAAAAAUCGUCAACAAAUAUAACAUAAUAUCGAAAACCCAAGUUUGAUAAAACAGGCGAUUGCCAAACAUCAGAAUGAAUAAUAUCUAAAGAAAAAGAACUACGGUGAGCAACUAAGUUAAAGGACAAACGUUGAGACUUUCCUAACUUGCACGAAACACAAUUAUUACUAAAGGAAUUUAGUAGCGUAAUAAAAUUAUGGUUCCUAAGACUUGACAAAACACGACUACCAUUAUGACCUAAACGACGAUGCCAGAUGUCUCCGGAUUGACGUAGAGCAACAAAGGCCUGAGGAGGAGAAGUCACAGACGAGGACGAUAAUGGAUAAAUAUCACCUUUACUGGAAGCUUGAAGGAGAGGUUGCCCCGUUACCUUGUCCUUCACACAAAUAGAAGAAUCAUCAAAGUCAACUUUACAAUUAUUAUCCCUACAUAACUUUUUAACAGAAAUCAAAUUAUGUCGAAGUGAGGAACAUGAAAUAUAGACUGUAAGUGUAGAGGACGAGAUGUAGAAGGCAACUGAGCAUAGCCAAUAUUUUUAAUGUUAAGCAAUGUACCAUUUCC